rnacentral:rRNA from 1 species
GUAGCUGGUCUGAGAGGAUGACCAGCCACACUGGAACUGAGACACGGUCCAGACUCCUACGGGAGGCAGCAGUGGGGAAUAUUGGACAAUGGGGGCAACCCUGAUCCAGCAAUGCCGCGUGUGUGAAGAAGGCCUGAGGGUUGUAAAGCACUUUCAGUGGGGAGGAGGAUUGAUUGGUUAAGAGCUGAUUAAUUGGACGUUACCCACAGAAGAAGCACCGGCUAACUCCGUGCCAGCAGCCGCGGUAAUACGGAGGGUGCAAGCGUUAAUCGGAAUUACUGGGCGUAAAGGGUGCGUAGGUGGUUUAWUAAGUUAUCUGUGAAAUCCCCGGGCUCAACCUGGGMAGGUCAGAUAAUACUGGUUGACUCGAGUMUGG